rnacentral:rRNA from 1 species
AAAACUUUCAACAACGGAUCUCUUGGCUCUGGCAUCGAUGAAGAACGCAGCGAAAUGCGAUAAGUAAUGUGAAUUGCAGAAUUCCGCGAAUCAUCGAAUCUUUGAACGCACAUUGCGCCCAGCAGUUACUCUGCUGGGCAUGCCUGUUCGAGCGUCAUUU